AUUGAACGCUGGCGGCAGGCCUAACACAUGCAAGUCGAACGAGUGGCGGACGGGUGAGUAAUGUCUGGGAAACUGCCCGAUGGAGGGGGAUAACUACUGGAAACGGUAGCUAAUACCGCAUACCAUCGGAUGUGCCCAGAUGGGAUUAGCUAGUAGGUGGGGUAAAGGCUCACCUAGGCGACGAUCCCUAGCUGGUCUGAGAGGAGGACCAGCCACACUGGAACUGAGACACUGUCCAGACUCCUACGGGAGGCAGCAGUGGGGAAUAUUGCACAAUGGGCUCAAGCCUGAUGCAGCCAUGCCGCGUGUAUGAAGAAGGCCUUCGGGUUGUAAAGUACUUUCGUCGGGGAGGCGUUACCCGCAGAAGAAGCACCGGCUAACUCCGUGCCAGCAGCCGCGGUAAUUC
rnacentral:rRNA from 1 species